UUCUGCAAAUGCUUCUGGGAUGAUGAGGAACCACUAGAAAUGCUUGGGUUCUGAUGAACCUGUUGGCCUUGCUGAGAGUAAGGGAUAGGUGGCUGCUGUUGUUGAAGCUGAGGAUGGAUCAUUUGGGAAGAAUAGAAAGAAUUAUUGAAGAAAGGCAUUGCUUGAGGGGGGGUUCCUCUAUAAGUUGGCGCCCCCCCUACAUGUGCAGGAAUUGGAAUUGGAUAUGUACUGUUCUGCAAAAUUGCCAAGAACUGGGUUUCAUUGCCAGACAUAUUUGGGUAGUUGAAGCCCAUAGCUGUGGCACCAGCUACAGCUGUCGUCGUGGCAUUAAUCGAGGCAGAAUUAGAGGCACUUGAUGAAGCUGUGCUACCCGCAACAGGAGACUUCACUGACCCAGGACGGACUGCAGCUGCCUGCUGUUGGUUCAAAGGGAAGAUGAAGGCAGGACCGUGCAAGAUAUUACUAGGUGCUCCUGGUGGCAGAGGUUGCUGAAGCAAAAUCUGCUUUCUCUGUGCAUUGUCUACAAUGUUCGAAGUUUGAGAGCUUUUCUCCUUCCCAGUGUGACCAGGAAAGAUGGCCAGACCCUGACCCUUUUCUUUCACAGAGUUCAUACCCCUACCAGCAUGCAAAUCUGUUGAGGGGACCACAUUGACGUUGCAGGCCUUUGCCCCGAAUUGUAAAGCAGAACCAGCUGCCGCUGGCCAGAAAGGAUUCAUCCUUGUAAA
rnacentral:misc_RNA from 1 species